CCUACGGGGUGCUGCAGUGGGGAAUAUUGGACAAUGGGCGAAAGCCUGAUCCAGCCAUGCCGCGUGUGUGAAGAAGGCCUUCGGGUUGUAAAGCACUUUCAGUGGGGAAGAAAGCCUUGGGGCUAAUACCCUCGAGGAAGGACAUCACCCACAGAAGAAGCACCGGCUAACGUCCGUGCCAGCAGCCGCGGUAAUACGGAGGGUGCGAGCGUUAAUCGGAAUUACUGGGCGUAAAGCGCGCGUAGGCGGUCUGAUAAGCCGGUUGUGAAAGCCCCGGGCUCAACCUGGGAACGGCAUCCGGAACUGUCAGGCUAGAGUGCAGGAGAGGAAGGUAGAAUUCCCGGUGUAGCAGUGAAAUGCGUAGAGAUCGGGAGGAAUACCAGUGGCGAAGGCGGCCUUCUGGACUGACACUGACGCUGAGGUGCGAAAGCGUGGGUAGCAAACAGGAUUAGAUACCCGAGUAGUC
rnacentral:rRNA from 1 species